AGCCUUUUGAAUCUGUGCUGAGAGUCCAUCAGACGCCAACCCAUUAGGGCUGAUCAAACUUCCAAGAUAAGUGAAGUU
rnacentral:pre_miRNA from 1 species